CAGUCGCCGCGGUAAGACAGAGGAUGCAAGCGUUAUCCGGAAUGAUUGGGCGUAAAGGGCGCGUAGGCGGUCUGACAAGUUUGGUGUGAAAUCUAUGGGCUCAACCCAUAGCCUGCAUCGAAAACUGUCGGGCUUGAGGAUGGGAGAGGUGAGUGGAAUUUCCGGUGUAGCGGUGAAAUGCGUAGAUAUCGGAAGGAACACCUGAGGCGAAAGCGGCUCACUGGACCAUUUCUGACGCUGAGGCGCGAAAGCUAGGGGAGCAAACAGGAUUAGAUACCCCAGUAGUCCCUGUCUCUUAUAC
rnacentral:rRNA from 1 species